GACGUAGGGCGCGAGCGUUGUCCGGAUUUAUUGGGCGUAAAGAGCUCGUAGGCGGCUUGUCGCGUCGACUGUGAAAACCCGUGGCUCAACCAUGUGGUCUGCAGUCGAUACGGGCAGGCUAGAAUUCGGUAGGGGAGACUGGAAUUCCUGGUGUAGCGGUGAGAUGCGCAGAUAUCAGGAGGAACACCGGUGGCGAAGGCGGGUCUCUGGGCCGAUAUUGACGCUGAGGAGCGAAAGCGUGGGGAGCGAACAGG
rnacentral:rRNA from 1 species